AUCCAUUCUUGGCCUUUUGGCUAAGGUCAAGUAUAGUAUCCUUUCUUAUCAGUUUAAUAUCUGAUAUGCUCUCUAUCUGAGGACAAUAUAUUAAAUGGAUUUUUGGAGCUCAGAGUUGGAAUAGGAGCUUGUUUGUCCACUUCAUGCAUUGACCUGGUAUUGUAGUACCUCUAGGAAUGGUGCAACCCCU
rnacentral:snRNA from 1 species